rnacentral:rRNA from 1 species
UACGGAGGGUGCGAGCGUUAAUCGGAAUUACUGGGCGUAAAGCGCACGUAGGCGGUCAGUCAAGUCGGGUGUGAAAGCCCUGGGCUCAACCUGGGAAUUGCAUUCGAAACUAUCUGACUCGAGUAUGGGAGAGGGAAGCGGAAUUUCCGGUGGUAGCGGUGAAAUGACGUAGAUAUCGGAAGGAACACCAGUGGCGAAGGCGGCUUCCUGGACCAAUACUGACGCUGAGGUGCGAAAGCGUGGGGAGCAAACAGGGAGUUAAGAAACCCC